rnacentral:rRNA from 1 species
AGUGAACGCUGGCGGUAGGCCUAACACAUGCAAGUCGAACGGCAGCACAGUAAGAGCUUGCUCUUACGGGUGGCGAGUGGCGGACGGGUGAGGAAUACAUCGGAAUCUACUUUUUCGUGGGGGAUAACUUAGGGAAACUUACGCUAAUACCGCAUACGACCUACGGGUGAAAGCAGGGGAUCUUCGGACCUUGCGCGAUUGAAUGAGCCGGUGUCGGAUUAGCUAGUUGGCGGGGUAAAGGCCCACCAAGGCGACGGUCCGUAGCUGGUCAGAGAGGAUGAUCAGCCACACUGGAACUGAGACACGGGCCAGACUCCUACGGGAGGCAGCAGUGGGGAAUAUUGGACAAUGGGCGCAAGCCUGAUCCAGCCAUACCGCGUGGGUGAAGAAGGCCUUCGGGUUGUAAAGCCCUUUUGUUGGGAAAGAAAAGCAGCAGGUUAAUACCCCGCUGUUCUGACGGUACCCAAAGAAUAAGCACCGGCUAACUUCGUG